GAUGAACGCUGGCGGCGUGCCUAAUACAUGCAAGUCGAGCGAACAGACGAUGAGCUUGCUCCUCUGACGUUAGCGGCGGACGGGUGAGUCACACGUGGAUCACCUACCUAUAAUACUGGGAUAACUUCGGGAAACCGGCUCUAAUACCGGAUAAUAUCUUGAACCGCAUGGUUCAAUAGUGAAAGACGGUUUUGCUGUCUCUUCUAGCUGGAUCCGCGCCGCAUUAGAUAGUUGUUAGGGUAACGGCUUACCAAGGCAACCAUGCGUAGCCGACCUGAGAGAGGGAUAGGCCACAUGGGAACGGGAACAGGGUCAAGACGCCUAAGGGAGGCAGCAGAAGGGAAUGUGAGGCAAUGGGCGAAAGCAUGACGGAGAAAGCCGGAGUGAGAGAUGAAGGUGUUGGGAUCGUAAAAACGGGUUAUGGGGGAAGAACAAAUGUGGAAGGAAAUAUGGAGGGAGUGACGGUACCUAAUAAAAAAGCAACGGCUAACUACGUG
rnacentral:rRNA from 1 species